ensembl:lncRNA
AGCCUAGUGGUUAGAUCGUUGGGCCAGUAACCAGCAGGUAGCCUAGUGGUUAGAGCGUUGGGACAGUAACCAGUAGGUAGCCUAGUGGUUAGAUCGUUGGGCCAGUAACCAGCAGGUAGCCUAGUGGUUAGAUCGUUGGGCCAGUAACCAGCAGGUAGCCUAGUGGUUAGAGCAGGUAGCCUAGUGGUUAGGGCGUUGGGCCAGUAACUAGCAGGUAGCCUAGUGGUUAGAGCGUUGGGCCAGUAACUAGCAGGUAGCCUAGUGGUUAGAGCGUUGGGCCAGUAACCAGCAGGUAGCCUAGUGGUUAGAUCGUUGGGCCAGUAACCAGCAGGUAGCCUAGUGGUUGAGGCGUUGGGCCAGUA